ensembl:lncRNA
GGAAAUAAUAACUGCCUUGUAUUUAAGAUUUCCUAGAAGAUGCAGCAUGAUCAUUCUCUUGGAGGCUCUGAGACCACAAUCAGUCCUGGGGUUUCCCCAUGUGAUGGUGAUGGCAGCAAAAUGGUGGAGACUGCUCACUGUGUGCCUGGGUUGGCCUUCCUCUUGUGAUGAGUAGCUUCCAUGCAGACUCAUCUGUACUACUUCUACUGCAUGGCCAGAGUGCUCCCCUGCCUUGCACCAACUCUGAGAUUUAAUUCUAAAAUCUUAGUGUCUCCAAUGGUCAGUUUUAAAUGAUUCUUACGGAAAAGCCAAUCAGUCAAGCCAGAAAACCCUGCUUGGGCUUUUAUUUGAACAUAUGCAAAUAAUUUGUUGUUUAAAUCUCUGGAAACUCGCACGUGUUGAUUCAUUUUUCUGUAAAUCACCCAGCAAACACCAGGUUCUGUUCAUUUCUUGCAUGCACUUGAAAGAGGAGAAGAGGAAGAUAUCUAAGCUUGGAGAAUACCCAGGAAGGGCAGUGCUGAGGUUGUUCAAGGCUUUUUCUACUUGUUCUUCUAAUUUGUUCACAGUGGAGCAGGAUAAGAUGAGAAUUGUAGUUGGAAGUAUUGACUAAUACAAGUACUAACUGCUCCUCUCGAGGUCAUGUUGUUUUCAGG